rnacentral:tRNA from 1 species
AUGUCUGUGGAUGGAUGUGGAUCUCGAAUCCUGCCCUCCGAAGGCAGGGGUUGCUGGUUCGAUCCCAGCCGGGCGCGCCA